AAUCUUAACAUGGAUCGUUUCGCUGGAGUUGAGAACAUGAUUUUUCCCCCCUGUCACCUUAUUAAAAUCAAAAAUUAAAAAAAAAAACUAGAAAUCCUGGAAGUAAGCGCGGAGGUCGGGGCUUGAGGAUGGCAGACCAGAUUUCCCCGGGUUUCUCUCUCCUGAACAACCGUCUUUCUUGUCUCCGCAUCCACUUUCUCUGAAUUCCGCCUAAUUGAGAGGAGUCUGCACCUGAUUUUAGUGCCAAGGAGACG